ACUCCUACGGGAGGCAGCAGUGGGGAAUAUUGCACAAUGGGGGAAACCCUGAUGCAGCCAUGCCGCGUGUGUGAAGAAGGCCUUCGGUUGUAAAGCACUUUCAGUAGGGAGGAAGGUAGUGUAGUUAACACCUGCACUAUUUGACGUUACCUACAGAAGAAGCACCGGCUAACUCCGUGCCAGCAGCCGCGGUAAUACGGAGGGGUGCGAGCGUUAAUCGGAAUUACUGGGCGUAAAGCGCAUGCAGGCGGCCUGUUAAGUCAGAUGUGAAAGCCCGGGGGCUUAACCUCGGAAUUGCAUUUGAAACUGGCAGGCUAGAGUCUUGUAGAGGGGGUAGAAUUUCAGGUGUAGCGGUGAAAUGCGUAGAGAUCUGAAGGAAUACCAGUGGCGAAGGCGGCCCCCUGGACAAAGACUGACGCUCAGAUGCGAAAGGCUGGGGAGCGAAACAGGAUUAGAUACCCUGGUAGCACAGAG
rnacentral:rRNA from 1 species